AGCAACGCCGCGUGAGUGAUGAAGGUUUUCGGAUCGUAAAGCUCUGUUGUUAGGGAAGAACAAGUACCGUUCGAAUAGGGCGGUACCUUGACGGUACCUAACCAGAAAGCCACGGCUAACUACGUGCCAGCAGCCGCGGUAAUACGUAGGUGGCAAGCGUUGUCCGGAAUUAUUGGGCGUAAAGGGCUCGCAGGCGGUUUCUUAAGUCUGAUGUGAAAGCCCCCGGCUCAACCGGGGAGGGUCAUUGGAAACUGGGGAACUUGAGUGCAGAAGAGGAGAGUGGAAUUCCACGUGUAGCGGUGAAAUGCGUAGAGAUGUGGAGGAACACCAGUGGCGAAGGCGACUCUCUGGUCUGUAACUGACGCUGAGGAGCGAAAGCGUGGGGAGCGAACAGGAUUAGAUACCCUGGUAGUCCACGCCGUAAACGAUGAGUGCUAAGUGUUAGGGGGUUUCCGCCCCUUAGUGCUGCAGCUAACGCAUUAAGCACUCCGCCUGGGGAGUAC
rnacentral:rRNA from 1 species